UACAGAGGUCUCAAGCGUUGUUCGGGAUUCAUUGGGCGUAAAGGGUGCGUAGGUGGCGCGGUAAGUCGGGUGUGAAAUUUCGGAGCUUAACUCCGAAACUGCAUUCGAUACUGCCGUGCUUGAGGACUGGAGAGGAGACUGGAAUUUACGGUGUAGCAGUGAAAUGCGUAGAUAUCGUAAGGAAGACCAGUGGCGAAGGC
rnacentral:rRNA from 1 species